CCCCAUGUCAGAUUUGCUCUAAAUGCUUUGGUUUUUGAGUUAUAAGCCAAAAACUGCAUUUUACCCCUAUGUUCUAUUUUUAGCCAUGGCGGCCAUCUUGGAUGGUUGGCCGGGUCACCGGACACAUUUUUUAAACUAGAUACCCCAAUGAUGAUUUUGGCCAAGUUUGGUGUAAUUUGGCCCAGUAGUUUCAGAGGAGAAGAUUUUUGUAAAAGUUAACGACGCCGGACGACGACGGACGACAGACGACGGACGACGGACGACGGACGCCAAGUGAUGGGAAAAGCUCACUUGGCCCUUUGG
rnacentral:lncRNA from 1 species